UACGAAGGGGGCUAGCGUUGUUCGGAUUUACUGGGCGUAAAGCGCACGUAGGCGGAUCGAUCAGUCAGGGGUGAAAUCCCAGGGCUCAACCCUGGAACUGCCUUUGAUACUGUCGAUCUGGAGUAUGGAAGAGGUGAGUGGAAUUCCGAGUGUAGAGGUGAAAUUCGUAGAUAUUCGGAGGAACACCAGUGGCGAAGGCGGCUCACUGGACCAUUACUGACGCUGAGGUGCGAAAGCGUGGGGAGCAAACAGG
rnacentral:rRNA from 1 species